rnacentral:rRNA from 1 species
AGGUUAAGCUACAAAGAGCACACGGAGGAUGCCUAGGCGCCAGGAGCCGACGAAGGACGUGGCGAACAACGAUAAGGCCUCGGGGAGCUGUAAGCAAGCUUUGAUCCGGGGAUGUCCGAAUGGGGAAACCCGGCUGUCUUCAUCGACAGUCACUACUCACUGAAUUCAUAGGUGAGUGAGAGGCAGACCAGGGGAACUGAAACAUCUAAGUACCCUGAGGAAGAGAAAACAAUAGUGAUUCCGUCAGUAGCGGCGAGCGAACGCGGAUUAGCCCAAACCAAGGAGCUUGCUCCUUGGGGUUGUGGGACGUCUCACAUGGAGUUACAAAGGAACCGGUUAGAUGAAGAGGUCUGGAAAGGCCCGCCAGAGAAGGUAAAAGCCCUGUAGUUCAAAACUUGUUCCCUCCGAGACGGAUCCCGAGUAGUGCGGGGCACGUGAAACCCCGUAUGAAUCCGGCAGGACCAUCUGCCAAGGCUAAAUACUCCCUGGCGACCGAUAGUGAAGCAGUACCGUGAGGGAAAGGUGAAAAGCACCCCGGAAGGGGAGUGAAAUAGAUCCUGAAACCGUGUGCUUACAAGAAGUCAGAGCCCGAUC